UGCAUAAUCUCUGGUCGUUAGUGCGUCGGUCCGUGCGGCCGGGGAAGCACGGAUUGUAGUUAUUAACUAUUUAUUGUUUGUAAACAAGGAAAAUGAUACAAAAACUAGUUUUUGUGCUAACAGGACUCGUGUUAUCUGAAGCCGACAUCAAGGCAUACAGCGACAUAGACUACCAAGCCAAUGGCGCCCAGCGCUUGAGUUGGAGUGUAGAAGUAUACGAGUAUUCCAACGUAGAACGACGGCACAAGUGUGGAGGGUCUUUUGUCACACCCACAGCAGUAAUAUCAGCGGCUCGGUGCUUCUGGGACAAAGGGAAGCAGCUCCCGGCCUCCAGGUUCGAGGUGGCGAGGACCUUCAGAGUGUUCGGCAUUGUUUGGCAAUCGGUGCAGAAGUCCAAAGUCAGCACGAUCCACCUUCCCCCGUCGUACCAGGACAGCGCUGGUAGUUACGCAAACGACAUUGCCUUGCUGACUCUCGCGAAGCCGCUCCGUGGCGUGAUACCUAUAUGCGUCAGUUUCAACAAAGACCUGGAGAAAAGGCAGCUGACUGAAGGCAACUUCGGUCGGAACAUGGGCAAACUACAACGGACGGGCAACGGGCUCCCCCCUUCAUUGUUCACGGCAUUAGAGGUGCCCUACGUGUCCCGAGACCGCUGCGACCAGGGGGAGCUCUACUACAGAGAACAGCUUACGUACGACAAGAUCUGCACUGGAUUUAAACCAGGUGCCUUUGACAGACCCGAAUCGCUGAUCUGCCGCGGCGACCACGGCAGCGGCCUGGCGUUCUACAGCGGUACUGAGUGGAAUGCUGUACCAUACCUGCGUGGUGUCGCGUCCACACCCUUCCGUGCUCCUUCUGUGCGUACAUACAACACUUGCUCUACAUACAGGUAAUUAACGAAGGCAAUAUCUCUUUAUAUCUCCCUCUAUAUCUUUAGCUGCUGCUUCAACACGAGGUGCGGUUUCCGGCAUCCUCUUUUGUAAGACUAUAGCUACGGGUCCUAUUAACGAAGCAGAGUGUUACUUAUACACCGUUUACUGGUCAUGCACGGUAAGAAUUUCCUUCCGUCUGUCUUUGCCGAGGUUUUCUUAGAGACUACAUUAUUUUCGAGGUUUUUCAUAGAGUGCACUUCGCUAUAUCUGUGUGAUGUCGCUUCCACACCCUUCCCUGGGCAUUCAGACCCUUAUGGAAGCUACAGCAGGUGUUCUACAUUCAAUACUUAAAUAGUCAAUAUAAUCAUGCCCCCGAACACAUGCAUGAUGAUGCAUGGUCACAAAUAGUGCGGUAUCAGAGGAAUUUCAUUCAGGGACAUUUCUGGAGGGACUACAGUACGGGAUUCUUCGAAGAGUGUACUUUGCUCCAUACCUUAGAUAUACUUCAAGUAUGUAUCUUGGCUAGUGAUAUAUCACUUGUUACGGAGCGUUGGGCUUACGACUCCGAGCAGCAAUUAAGGCAUAGUCUAUAUUUAGUUUUUUUAGCAUUAGAAAGAAGGUAAGUGAUCUUGAUAUUUUUUUAUUUAUUAAAAAACGCUUUUAAAAAUAAAAUCAAGGCAAAUAUGCAACAAUUAUAUAUCAAUAUCUGGUAGAUGCGCGUUUUCCCAGGGAUAAGACCUAAUUAUUAUAGUUAGUUCGAUUUUCGCCUCCUAAAACCCCCAUAUAACAAAUUUCAUCGAAAUAGAGCGGUUCGAUAUAUAUAAAUAUAUAGGGUUUUGCAAUAAUUUCCAAUAAAAAGACACAUGUAGAUUGUUUUUAGACGUUUAGUAGACGAACUAUACAGGUAUCAUAAGUGUAGUGAGCGAGAAAAGAAAGACAAGAUCUCAAACGAAAGUUCGUCUUUCAAAGCGGUGUAUACUUAAUGUACAUUCUUAUAUUUCGCAAAUUGUAAGUUUGUUAACAAGCCACUAUAUCGGAAAUUAAAAUAAUAC